rnacentral:misc_RNA from 1 species
CUUGAUAUCCACUGUGGAAUUCGCCCUUUGGCUACGCGAGCGCAUGAGCUGUUUUGGACCCGUGUCUGCCGGUAGGUCCCCCGUCUUCGUGCGGCCGACUACCGGCGCCAUGUCUUUUCAUUCGUGUGAGCUAUCUUACUGUUGCCUUUCAAGUGCUUGCGUGAUGUUACCCGACCUACGGGUAUUGGUGCUUCAUACACAGUUGCCUCGUGGUGGACGCCUUUGGGUGUGCUGCUGCGGCCAUAUGGCGCUUGCGGCGUUGCCUCUUGGUGCUGGCAUGUUUCGUGCCUGGUGCUAUCUAAACGUGCUCUCUCCAUUUCACCGUACUAGUAGGACGAGCUAGGCCCGCUCAAUUGCGACAACCGGCCCGGCUGUUGCCUCGCCUUGCCACGCAAGUGGAUGGGUGGAUGACUACCGACGCUGGAUGUCAAAGAGGACGUGCUACCUGGUUGAUCCUGCCAGUAGUCAUAUGCUUGUCUAAGGGCGAAUUCCACAUU